rnacentral:rRNA from 1 species
UACAGAGGGGGCAAGCGUUGUUCGGAAUUACUGGGCGUAAAGGGCGCGUAGGCGGCCACCUAAGUCAGACGUGAAAUCCCUCGGCUCAACCGGGGAACUGCGUCUGAUACUGGGUGGCUUGAAUUCGGGAGAGGGAUGCGGAAUUCCAGGUGUAGCGGUGAAAUGCGCAGAUAUCAGGAGGAACACCGAUAGUGAAGACAGCUAACUAAGCUUUAACUGACGCUGAGGCACGAAAGUGUGGGGAUCAAACAGG